rnacentral:rRNA from 1 species
AAGGUGCGGUGCCUCCUUAUUCGAACACCCAAGUACCACGGGACACGGGGAACCCUGUGGGAAUUCGGGAGGACCACCUCCCAAGGCUAAAUACGUCUCGGCGACCGAUAGUGAACCAGUACCGUGAGGGAAAGGUGAAAAGCACCCCUGUGAGGGGAGUGAAAGAGUACCUGAAACCGUCUACCUACAACCUGUGGGAGGGCUAUACCCGGCAGCAAUGUCGGGGAGGCCUGACUGCGUGCCUUUUGCAUAAUGAGCCGGCUAGUUACUCUCGGCGGCAAGGUUAAGCAUUUUGCGGAGCCGCAGCGAAAGCGAGUCUGAACAGGGCGUCAGAGUCGUCGGGAGUAGACGCGAAGCGGGAUGAUCUACCCUUGGCCAGGGUGAAAUCAGUGUAACAGCUGAUGGAGGCCCGAACCGGUGUUGGUUGAAAACAGCUCGGAUGAGCUGAGGGUAGGGGUGAAAGGCUAAUCAAACUGGGAAAUAGCUCGUACUCUCCGAAAUGUUUUUUGGAACAGCCUCGGUGUUGAGUAUUACAGAGGUAGAGCUACCGAUUGGGCUAGGGGGCUUCACCGCCUACCAAACCCAGACGAACUCCGAAUACUGUAAUAUAUAACCGGGAGUGAGCCCAUGGGUGCUAAGGUCCGUGGGCGAGAGGGGAACAACCCAGACCAUCAGCUAAGGUCCCAAAAUUUACGCUAAGUUGAUAAAACGAGGUGCGACUGCAUAGACAGCUAGGAUGUUUGCUUGGAAGCAGCCAUUCAUUUAAAGAGUGCGUAACAGCUCACUAGUCGAGCGGUCGUGCGUGGAUAAUAAUCGGGCAUUAAGCGUAAUACCGAAGCUGUGGGAUCGAAAGAUCGGUAGGAGAGCAUUCCUGCGGCGCAGAAGGUGUGGCGUGAGCCAUGCUGGAGCUUCAGGAAGAGAAAAUGUAGGCAUAAGUAACGAUAAAUCAAGUGAAAAACUUGAUCGCCGAAAGUCUAAGGUUUCCUGAUCAACGUUAAUCGGAUCAGGGUUAGUCGGGUCCUAAGGUGAAGCCGAAAGGCGUAACCGAUGGAAAACUGGUUAAUAUUCCAGUACCGACUUAUGCUGCGAUGGGGUGACGAAGUUGUGACUCGUCCGCGUACUGACGGAAUAGUACGUUAAAGGGUGUAGGUAUAUCUCCUGCAGGCAAAUCCACAGGAGAUGCCGAAUCCCAAUAGUACCUCAAAGCUUCGGCCGAGGGGAUAGUGACGGUAAUCAUACUUCCAAGAAAAACCUCUAAGCUUCAGGCAUAAGCCGCCCGUACCGCAAACCGACACAGGUAGACGGGAAGAAUAUUCUAAGGCGCUCGGGUGAGCCACGGCUAAGGAACUAGGCAAAUUGACCCCGUAACUUCGGAAGAAGGGGUGCCUACCCACUUCGGUGGGAGGCCGCAGUGAAAUGGCCCAGGCGACUGUUUAGCAAAAACACAGGACUCUGCCAAAUCGAAAGAUGAUGUAUAGGGUCUGACACCUGCCCGGUGCCGGAAGGUUAAGAGGAGAGGUUAGCGCAAGCGAAGCUUUGAAUCGAAGCCCCGGUAAACGGCGGCCGUAACUAUAACGGUCCUAAGGUAGCGAAAUUCCUUGUCGGGUAAGUUCC